AUGGCUUUGCAGAAGGGAGUGUGUCAAAAAUCGUUAAGUGCCUGGGAGAUGAAGUGCAUAAUCACAGAAAGCAGUCCCUGGCAAAGGAAUGCCUGCCACUUACCAAUGAGAUGCCAGACUCCCCUGUCCUUCCUCUGUGACUCUCAAUUCCUGUCUGCCAUCCUCCUGCCCGUCAACACAGUUCAGAUAGAGCAGUUCCUUGAGUCCACUCUGCCUGUGGCAGGAGAGAAUUGCGGAGUUUUUAAUCAUUCAGAGGAAAUCCUCCAGCUUGCCCUGCUUCUCCCUGAAGAGGGGACCCAGGUCUGCAAAAGGGACAACUUCAUCACACACCAAAAGAAGGAUCAAGGUGCAACUACUUUUGUGGAGCUCCAAAUUCACCAGGGACAGCCAGCAGCAGGGAGAGAAAAGUGGCUGAAUCACUCAUUGAAUGAUGCCUUCAUCUUCAGGGGAUGGACCGCAAUACUAUUACCUGAGGACAUUGGUGGAAACCCUGUACAGUGGAAGAAGGAUUUAGAUAAUAAAAACAAUCAUCACCCAUGGAAAAAGGGCAAAGAUACAUACUCGGCCCAGUAUUGUGAUUAAAGGAGGGACGAAUAGUUUUGAAGUCCACACCUUCUAUUCCAGUUUCACAAUGCCCACCUAAGAGUUUAAGCUUUUAAGCAGAUCAAAGAACCUGCCAUUCUCUUUCACCUCCCACCAACAUGCUAAUAGAUUAAGUCUUUUGCAAAAAUAUAACUAAAUAACCUAUAUUAAUUUACAUACAAUCACAUUUGGAAGGCAUUGGGAGCAAUCAAUGUACAUAGGACUUGAGGGGCUAUAGUAUUUGACAAAAGGAAACAUGAUAUAUUAAUGUUCAUUCUCACCUUAAUGGUAUUUCCAAAUCAUGGUGUGGGGCAGUGGAGUGCAAGUAAAAACCAAAAGUAUUACUGCUGCUGGGAGCGACUGAAGUUUAAUUUCAUCAGACUGUGAUUUCAGAAACAUCGGGGCGCCUGGGUGGCUCAGUCGGUUGAGCAUCCGACUUUGGACCAGGUCAUGAUCUCGCAGUCCAUGGGUUCGAGCCCCGCAUCGGGCUCUGUGCUGACAGCUCGGAGCCGGGAGCCUGUUUCAGAUUCUGUGUCUCCCUCUCUCUCUGACCCUCCUCUGUUCAUGCUCUGUCUCUCCCUGUCUCAAAAAUAAAUAGACAUUAAAAAAAAAAAAAAAGAAACA
rnacentral:lncRNA from 1 species